CCGCCCUGCGCUCCUGGUCUCCCGCGCGGCGCGGGGCUGCGGAGGCUGGGGCGCCGGUCGGAGCGCGCGUCCGCUCGGAGCGUGUGUCGCCGGCCUCGUCUGGCCUGUUCUUGCCCGAGGAGCCAGCGUCCCAGGGUGAACCGCUUCCCCCACUGCUGGAACAGCCCGAGAAGACCGGCGUGGCCCCCGGUGUGUCCCGUGAGGAGCCUGCCGCCAUGCUGCCUCGAAUCCGAACGACUGGCCCUGGGAUGUUGCCCAAACGUAAGCGGGGGCAGCUGAGUGGUUCCCCAGCCCGAGCCGUGCUCCCUGCACCGAGAGGGCUGGCAGUCUUCUGCUCUCUCCCUGCUCGGCGAGGGCCAUGUGCACCACCUGCCCCGAAGACUUCCGCUUUGGACCAGCUCAUGCCCGCGGGCCUGGAACAAGCCUGUCAGUCUGGGAUCGCACCUGCCCACUGCCUGCCUCUCCGCGGGCUCCCUGCCUCCGCUUUCCGCCCUUUCUCUGAACCCUGCAGCGGCCCUUAGCACUUCGCAGCCACCGUGGAAUCUGUGUUGUCAGGUAAAGUGGGAUGUGUCACUGUGUUAUAGAGUGUUAAAGAUACUCCUAGGGUUAGAACAAACGAACCUGUGAUUGCUCGGCUCAUAGCUAUCAAGUGAACUCUAG
rnacentral:lncRNA from 1 species